rnacentral:lncRNA from 10 species
GAGACAGGGUCUUGCUCUGUCACCCUGGCUGGAGUGCAGUGGCACAAUCCCGGCUCACUGCAACCUCUGCCUCCCGGGUUUAGACAAUUCUCAUGUCUCAGCCACCUGAGUAGCUGAGAUUACAGGUGUGCACCACACGCCCAGCUAAUUUUUGUAUUUUUAGUAGAGAUGGGCUUUUGCCAUGUUGGCCAGUCUGGUCUUGAACUCCUGACCUCAAGUGAUCUGCCCACCUUAGCCUCCCAAAGUGCUGGGAUUACAGGAGUGAGCCACCAUGCUUGGCCUAGACUGCUGAUUGUUGGGAGGCAUUGUUCCCAUAAGCUUUUUGUGAUGCAUCAAUGAUCUCACCAUUCUUCCAUCCAAGCUUCACCAUACAUUGUUUCUUCUUGCUUUCAUUUUAGCAGAAUUCAUGCUGCUCUGAUAGGGGCUCUUUUCAAAUCGAUGUCUUAUCCUUCUUAGUGCCUCAAACUAGAUCCUAUUCAGUCAUGUUAUAACAAGUUAGUAUGAGUUUAUUUUGGUGUAAACAUUUUGAAAAUCAAGCAUAGUUUUUUCCUAAUACACAUUUUCCAUGAACUUUUUAAAGACUCAUCGUAUUUCCCUGGCUCCCUCUGGUUCCCCUCUGGCUGGUGGCAUUCCUCAACAGAAGGUCACAGCUCCUCUCAAGAUUCUCUGGACCCGAAUUUCUCCUUCUACUUUCUAGUAACUGCUCUCUCUCUCAUUCCUUCAGGCGUGGGGUAGUAAAAGCUCUGGGGGUACUGCUCUAUCCUUUGUAUUCUCCCUACAUCUUGUCCACGCUUUUGUAAAAAGUCUCUGUAUUAAACCCCUCUCAAACCAUCUUGAGCUGUAUGUGCCAUCUGUUUCCCGCUGGAACCCUGACUGAUAGAGAGAUCAAGCCAGAGCAGACUUCCGGAAUCUUCUUUCUCCUGAAACUCCAGCAGAGGCUCAGAUUUAUUCACAUGAUAGAUGUCAAAACCAUAAAUUUUCCCAUCUUAGUUUAUCCUUGACUCAGAAGGCUGGACUCAACCUUCAAAGGUCACUGAAGUCCAUUUCUCUGCCUCCAGCUGGGAAUCCCACCCCCACCCCCACCCUGACUGCUCCUGUCAGAGGGAAGUACAUCUUACUCUGAAGAUCUCCAGGUGAAGCCUGUUUCCUUUGUCUGUUCCUUGGCAAGAGCUGAAAAAAGAUCCUUCAUUCUUUGAAAAUAGGCAUUAAAUCAUCCUCGCCCUUCUCCGGCUCUGAAGUGCAGAUCAAUGAAGGCAGACAAUCUGCACAUGCUAGUCUCAAGCAGUCAACCUGGACGUUCUAGGAGAACCCUACACUGUAACUAACAUUUACAUGAAUGUGUUUGAAAGGUUUAUCCGAGGCAGAAGGGAAAGAUGGAGCCAAAAUCUCUGGGAAAAAAAAAAAAAUGGCUGGAAUGGGUUCCUGACAGAAGUGAUGGUGAAUUCUUCUUUUUCAAUUUACUUUUAACUUAUUGGAGAUUUAUCCUCUUCCUGUUAUCCAAACCCUGAAUUCUGGAGGGUGCCGGUUUGCUGCUAUUAACCAGCCCUGACAAAGGCUGCCACUCUGUGAACAGAAAUCUGCAGGCAGUUCCUCUCAGCUCUGCCUUCUCUUUCUGUAUUUGUCUGCUCGGGCUUUCAUAACAAAAUACUACAGACUGGGUGGCUUCGACACAGAAGUGUAUUUAUUCACAGUUCUGGAAGGCCACAGGCUGGAAGUCCAAGGUCAAGGUGUUGUAGGUUUGCUUUCUUCUGGGGCCUCUCUCCUUGGCUUGCAGAUGGCUGCCUUCUCUCUGAGUCCUCACGUGACCUUUUUUCUCUGCCUGCAAAUCCCUGGUGUCUCUGGUGUCUUUCUUUGUGUCCAAAUGUCUUUUUAUAAGUACACCAGUGGAAUUAGCCCCUGCCCCACAACAGCCUCAUUUUAACUUAACCACCUCUUUAUAUGUCUUAUCUCCAAAUACCUUCAGAGGCACUGGGAAUUCAACAUAUGACGUGAUUCAGCCUAUUAUACUCUCCUUCUUCUCUUCAGCAAUCUCUACCUAACUGGGCUUCCAAUGGACUUGAACUGAGCCAGCCAUGAACCAGGAACAGUAGUAAAACCUAGAAUCUGAUAAACCUCAUAGCCUACAGACCAUUGCUUUAAAACAAAUUGUACUAAAAUUCAAAAAUGUCUCCCCUAAAUCUUGAUGUACACACACACAUUCACAUGCAUGCACAUGUGUGUGUGAGUGCAUGUGCAUGCACACACACACCACACACACAAUCCCAGUUGUUUGUUUUAAAGCAUUUACCUGGAUUAUUAAAGUGUUCUCUAAUUUCAUACACUUUGUUUUAUUCUCAUUCCUAGAUUAGUAAACUCAAUCACAUGGGAUUUCAGCCUAUUCCUACAAAAGCAUACAUGGCUGAUGUAUCAGCCCCUUCUCAUUCCUACAUCAUUUAGAUGUCCAGCCCUGAAACCCAACAGUCAGCACUAGAGAGGGUGCUUUACUUGUGUCACGGGGUCAUCUCAUUUAAUCAUUUAAUCCUUCCAGUAGGAUAGAAACUAGGAGUCCCAUUCAAUAAAAGAAGAAACUAUAAGACACAGAAAAAUUAGUCACUCAAAUGAAAAGCGUGCACCCUGAGGGCUCACCUCUGAGCCUCAAAAGCUGAGUAAAAUGUAUUUACACAAAGAGUUGCUAUCAACUAAUAUUACUGAAUACUUGCACCCCAAAAUGCUCACAAUUAGGACUUGUGGACACCUCACAAUCCUUCAGUGCUUUCAGAAUAAUUAAGAAAAGCUCUGAAUAACGUUAACACCACGGGAAUAGGCUAAACUUUUAAAGAAAGUUUUGUCCUUUGGGAGUGAGUGGCCAGUACAUGAACCAUCAACUGAAUUGUUGGUUACCUUAGCACCAUUUUCAGAGUGUGGGGGGCAUUCAGUGGGUGAGGGGAGAACAUGACCCCUGAGGACACACACCCAUGCCUGUUACACUGUGUGGGGGAAGUCCUGAUCCUUCAGGAGCCCCCUACAUGUUCAGUCAGGGCAAAUCCUCAGUGAUUCCACAGAGAG